rnacentral:rRNA from 1 species
CGUGCAGGCGGUCAUGUAAGUGGCGCGUGAAAGCGCCCGGCUCAACCGGGCGAGGCCGUGACCAAACUGCGUGACUAGAGGUAGGUAGAGGUAUGUGGAAUUCCGGGUGUAGUGGUGAAAUGCGUAGAGAUCCGGAGGAACACCAGUGGCGAAGGCGGCAUACUGGACCUGACCUGACGCUAAGACGCGAAAGCAUGGGGAGCGAACG